rnacentral:lncRNA from 1 species
CGACUGUUGCAGCUGGUCAACCAGGAUGACCUUGUCAGCUUCAACGGCCGUGACCUUGUCUCUCCAAGCCGCACGCAUGUCGCCGAACUUCCAGUAUCCGACCUCUAGCUCGGAUAUGUUGUAGACCAACUGCAGAAAGCAAAACUGACCGUCAGGAGACCGGACUCACGGAAACAAUAUUAAAAAUGCAGAAGAGAGAAACUUACCCGAAUCAUCAUCGGGUAGAACGAAGAUAGCAUGUCGGAGACACACUGGUUCUUCAUCGCCUCGAUGUUGGCGGGAAGGAGGAGUGCUUGGCACAGCCUCCUGGCCAAGUCAUGGUUGGCUAGGCUCGAUGCACCUUCGAGGAGUGGG